rnacentral:lncRNA from 1 species
UCAAUACGUUUACAAAAAUCUAAUUGGUACACGGAAGAUUUAUAAAAAUAUAAUUUAUAAAAUAAUAUUUUAGUCUUUCAGAUUACAGAUAAUUUUAAAUGAAAUAUCAUUAGUACGAACAACAUGCAUCCUUGCGGACAGCUUCUGAUAGGUGCCCUAUUAGAGUAAUUUAUAAUUCUUCUUACUUGGUAUUCCACGGACAACUACUUGUAGUUUUCUUUUCUUCGUUUUAUGUGCUACAUCAUAUUCAACACCACUUGUAAAAAUUACUUUUAUUUCAGCCUGUAUGAUUUGAUUGAUUCACUCGCUAUCAUGUUUCAAAUAAUAGUGCCGCAACUAUAAAAUUGGAGUACAAAACCUCUGAUAUUCCAAAGUAACAGCAGCAUACCUAACAGCAGAGGAUAAAUUAUAUUGAAAAUUCUGUUCAAAUCAGUUCACAGUUAAUAUAAUUCUUUAACAGUCUAUCUUGUCGCUCUUCGUGUAAAUUAUUAUUUAUGUAUAAAUUUUGUGGAAUUUUAGUAACAAAAAAUUUUAUUUGUGAAAAAUGUUUAUUUAAUUUGUAACAUUUAUGCUUUUAUUUUAAUACAAAUAAAUUUUCUAUUUAAG